rnacentral:rRNA from 1 species
AGUGAACGCUGGCGGUAGGCCUAACACAUGCAAGUCGAACGGCAGCACAGUAAGAGCUUGCUCUUACGGGUGGCGAGUGGCGGACGGGUGAGGAAUACAUCGGAAUCUACUUUUUCGUGGGGGAUAACGUAGGGAAACUUACGCUAAUACCGCAUACGACCUACGGGUGAAAGCAGGGGAUCUUCGGACCUUGCGCGAUUGAAUGAGCCGAUGUCGGAUUAGCUAGUUGGCGGGGUAAAGGCCCACCAAGGCGACGAUCCGUAGCUGGUCCGAGAGGAUGAUCAGCCACACUGGAACUGAGACACGGUCCAGACUCCUACGGGAGGCAGCAGUGGGGAAUAUUGGACAAGGGGCGCAAGCCUGAUCCAGCCAUACCGCGUGGGUGAAGAAGGCCUUCGGGUUGUAAAGCCCUUUUGUUGGGAAAGAAAAGCAGCAGGUUAAUACCCCGCUGUUCUGACGGUACCCAAAGAAUAAGCACCGGCUAACUUCGU